rnacentral:rRNA from 1 species
CCUUCGGGAGGCAGCAGUGGGGAAUUUUGCGCAAUGCUCGUAAGAGUGACGCAGCGACGCCGCGUGAAUGACUAAGGCCUUCGGGUCGUUACGUUCUUUCGCCCGGGAAGAAAAUGCCUAUAAUUAACUGUGUAUGUCUUGACGGUCCCUGUAUAAUCAGCUCCGGCUACCUCCGUGCCAGCAGCCGCGGUAAUACGGCGGGGGCGAGCGUUGUUCGGAGUGACUGGGCGUAAAGGGCACGUAGGCGGUGUUGUAAGUGAUUAGGCAAAGACUAGAGCGCAACUUUACUAAGGCUAGUGAUACUAGAAUACUAGAGGAUCAGAGAGGAUUGCAGAAUGCCUGGUGUAGCGGUGAAAUGCGUAGAUAUCAGGAGGAAUACCGUUAGCGAAGGCGGCAAUCUGGCUGAAAACUGACGCUGAGGUGCGAAAGCGUGGGUAGCGAACAGGAUUAGAUACCCCGGUAGUC